CAGCAAUGAAGCCUAGCCGUAUCAGUGGCUCCAUAACAGCAACAAUUUAGAUUGUCUAUCAAUAUCCGAAAUAGACAUAAGGCCUAUGCUUUCCCAGCAGUUAACUGACUUGCCUAGUUAAAUACAUGUAAAAAAUAAAAUAAAAAACAAGAAUGGUCCACCACCCAAAGGACAUUCAUUCAACUUGGUGUGUGUGCUCGCGCACGUUAGGCUACGUUAUGUGAGCUAGCUUCCAGCUAGCUAGUCGCCCAUCUCGCCCCGUUGCAAUGGAACGUUUUCUGAUCAAGAGAAGAGUGUUGAUAGACAUUGAAAAUCCAGACCCAGGCCGUGUCUCCGAGGGGGCCAAAGAAGAAUAGGGAGAUAAGAAAGAUGAGUCGGAGAGAGAAACUCGUGAGCCACGACGUGAGGGAGCACCAGAGCAGGUCGUCGCUGCUAGCUGUGCUCCCUCUGAUUUAAACCAGUUAGUUACAUGUUAAAGAACCAAGGCGCUGUCUUCGGUGUUAUCCAGCCACAAAUGUUGAACAGCAGGAUCGCUACUUCAAUCGUAGAUGGUAUGAGGAUUACAAAUGGCUGGAAUAUUCUAUUUCAAAGGACCUAGCUUUCUGCUUUGCGUGACGCCACUUUCAACGUCCAGGAAACCAUGGUGGAGAGAAGGCGGCAUAUACCCACGAUGGCUACUAGAACUGGAAGAAAGCGACAAGUUCGUUCAAAACACUCAAUGCUAGUGUUAAGCAUAGAUAUGCAAUGAUAGCGUGGAAUGAGUGGACUAUUCAGAAAGAGUAUGGCUCAACAAUAUGCAAUGCUCUAAGUGAUGGACAUUCGAAAAUAGUCCGAGAGAACGGAGAGUAUAUAUAUAAGAGCAGUUGGAAAGUUCCUGUCCAUGCUUAAACGUUACAAAGACUACUUCGUGGACGCAUGCUGCGUGUAAAAACCUACCCGAGAAACAGAAUGGCAAACACUCGACUCAGCAACCUUGACUGCCUGUCCAUACACGCAGAAAGAACUAAUUUGCAACGAACCACAACAACAGACGCAUGUCCUUCUAUAAAACAACACUUGAUGAAGCGCGCCUGUCGGGUGGUCUGGACCAGGAUGGAACAAGAAGACGGAUGCAUAUUGUCGGCCAGUUGGCCUACAAGUAUUUUUUCAAUAGAAAUGUAAUCACUAAGAUUGUGAUGAUAGCCAGUUCGUUUUACAAGUGUGUGACACAGUUAACAGGCACAGGCUAAAUGCAUUGCACUUCUCGUUGUGGCAGCACUUUGGAUAUUAUUAAUUGCAUUUCUGACGUUGUGAUAGCCAUUUCAUCCGAAACAUUAUUACCAAUGUACAGUUGUCUGAUUAUGCAUAUGAAAUAAAUGCACUGCUUGUUGUUGUCGCAUUUUGGAUGUAUUGUGUCGUUAUUGCUGAAAGACUUCAGUGCAUGGGCGCUGUCCGGUGCUGAAGUCUGUCACCUUUGCACGUGAAAGUCGUUUUUGUCAUUGCCUUGUGGUCACUUGGGUUUAUAGCUAUUUUGUUGAAUAUUCUUUGGCUAAAUUCAAUUAAAAACUAC
ensembl:lncRNA